rnacentral:ncRNA from 3 species
CAUUGUGAAGCAGAAUUCACCAAG